AACGAACGUUGGCGGCGUGGAUUAGGCAUGCAAGUCGAGCGAGAAACCUCCUUCGGGAGGUGGACAGCGGCAAACGGGGUAGUAAGGCAUCGGUGACGCACCCCCAGGUCUGGGAUAGCCGAGGGAAACUUCGGGUAAUACCGGAUGAGAUCUCAGGAUCAAAGGUGAGAUUCCGCCUGGGGACCGGCUGAUGUGAUACCAGCUAGUUGGUAAGGUAACGGCUUACCAAGGCUUAGACGUCUAGGGGGUGUGAGAGCAUGGCCCCCACCACUGUGACUGAGACACUGCCCAGACACCGACGGGUGGCUGCAGUCGAGAAUCUUCGGCAAUGGGCGAAAGCCUGACCGAGCGACGCCGCGUGCGGGAUGACGGCCCUUGGGUUGUAAACCGCUGUCAGAGGGGAUGAAAUUCCAGAGAGCUAUCUCUCUGGAUUGACAAAGCCUCAGAGGAAGCCCGGGCUAAGUACGUGCCAGCCGCCGCAGUAAUAC
rnacentral:rRNA from 1 species